rnacentral:rRNA from 1 species
UGGGGAAUAUUGGGCAAUGGGCGCAAGCCUGACCCAGCAACGCCGCGUGAAGGAAGAAGGCUUUCGGGUUGUAAACUUCUUUUGUGAGGGACGAAACAAAUGACGGUACCUCACGAAUAAGCCACGGCUAACUACGUGCCAGCAGCCGCGGUAAUACGUAGGUGGCGAGCGUUAUCCGGAUUUACUGGGUGUAAAGGGCGUGUAGGCGGGACUGCAAGUCAGAUGUGAAAACCAUGGGCUCAACCCAUGGCCUGCAUUUGAAACUGUAGUUCUUGAGUGAUGGAGAGGCAGGCGGAAUUCCGUGUGUAGCGGUGAAAUGCGUAGAUAUAUGGAGGAACACCAGUGGCGAAGGCGACUUUCUGGUCUGUAACUGACACUGAGGCUCGAAAGCGUGGGGAGCGAACAGGAUUAGAUACCC